AAAGAAUGUUCCCCAGGAGACUUGUGUCCGGAGCCAGGGUGUACUCCUCAGGGCAGGGCUUAGCAGGCCCAGAGAAUGAACUCAUAACACACCUUGUCUCCCAGGUUAGGAUCCAGCGUCCAGUUCACCUGCAACGAGGGCUAUGACCUGCAAGGGUCCAAGAGAAUCACCUGCAUGAAAGUGAGCGACAUGUUUGCAGCAUGGAGUGACCACAGGCCGGUCUGCCGAGCCCGCAUGUGUGAUGCCCACCUCCGAGGUCCCUCGGGUAUCAUCACGUCCCCCAACUUCCCCAUUCAGUAUGACAACAAUGCACACUGCGUGUGGAUCAUCACUGCACUCAACCCUGCCAAG
rnacentral:lncRNA from 1 species